rnacentral:tRNA from 1 species
GCCUGGGUGGCUUAGUCGGUUAAGCAUCUGACUUCAGUUCAGGUCAUGAUCUCACCAUUCGUGGGUUCGAGCCCCACACUGGGCU